rnacentral:rRNA from 1 species
UACAGAGGGUGCAAACGUUGUUCGGAAUUACUGGGCGUAAAGCGCGUGCAGGCGGCCUUGCAAGUCGGACGUGAAAUCCCACGGCUCAACCGUGGAAGUGCAUUCGAAACUGCGAGGCUGGAGUCCUGGAGAGGAAAGUGGAAUACUCGGUGUAGAGGUGAAAUGCAUAGAUACAAUCAAGAACACCGAUUGCGUAGGCAGCUUACUAGGCUGUAACUGACGCUGAGGCACGAAAGCGUGGGGAGCGAACAGG